GCUGGGUGUGGUGGCUCACGCCUGUAAUCCCAGCACUUUGGGAGGCUGAGGCGGGAGGAUCACCUGAGGUCAGGAGUUAGAAACCAGCCUGACCAACAUGGCGAAAUCCCGUUUCUA
rnacentral:SRP_RNA from 2 species